ACAUACAGUACACACACACACACACACACACACACACACACACACACACACACACACACACACACACACACACACACACACACUUCCUAUUUUUUCACACUUCAUUAGCAGUUGAUUUGAGUAAAUAUGUACUAUCAGUGGAAGUAGUGAUGACUGUUUGAUGCUCUGGUGACAGAAAAGGAAGUGAUGGCUCUUCUACCAACUGCUUACAAUGAAUGCUUGCAGUGUGAAGCCUUUUUCAGUUUUAAAGAUUAGGAGUGUUUAGUUAACCCAGGACAGAGGAUAAAACAAGUCAGAGCCAUCUCAAUAGCCGAGAAGAAUGUGGCAACAAGUGAAACUUCAAUACAAAAACAUUUUCCAGAGUGCCACCAAACAAAAAGACGAUGAGGAGACUGUCUGCAGUCUCAGAUGCCAGAGGAUGUUUGUUCAAUUUACAAGUGUCAUCUGCUCAUUGGCUUUGAAAGCUAGAAACAGGACAUGGAGUACAAAAAGCUAAAAAUUAAGAAGUUGGAGAUAAACACACUGGAGAAUGAUGUAAGUAUAAAUUUAAAUACAUCAGAAGGUCCUGGUUUGGACCAUAAUUAAUGCUUUUGUUUGUUUGUUUUUUUGUCUUCACAGCUUGAACAAAAUGAGUGAAUGAAAUAAUAAAUUACUUUGACAGACUUUUCUUUCUUAAAUCACACAUGUUAAGCUUUCAAAUAAAAGGUUUCACUCCAAAAUAAAGGUGACCAUGAAUAAAAUGGGGAUUGAUUGAAAUAGCUCUUAGUUUAUGUUUCAGAACACAUGACAUAUGUGAUGCGAACGCGAAAAGACACUUGACAGAAUUGUCUAUUGGGGUUCUGUUUCCACCAGUUGGACAUUCUUUGACACACAGUCUAAAUUAAGCCUGACAGUUAGCCUGCGGUAUAAGUUUCCUUGGUUACUGAGCAGGGAAUCCUAUAAGCCACAGUAAUGGAACGGAUCUCUCACUUAAACUAGUGAGACUUAUCGAAAUAAGCCAGGAUUUUCCUUUGAAAUUCCUUGAUGGAAUACCCCUCUGGCCAGUUUCGCUUAAGAAACCUUCUGGCAUCACUGUUUGUUUUUGUUUGAGUUGAUCUCACCUCAUGAAGGUCCUAUUACGUUAAAAUUAUAUCCCGCAAAGGCAUCAGUUGUCAUCUUUUUGCCCUUGAGUCGAGGCUACUGUAUGUCUAGUUGUUACAGAAAGGCUCAGCCAACCGCAGGAAACAGAGACUUUAAGUCGGUUUCACAGUAUGCGGGACAGGUGGCCAAUCAGCUAAGGAAUGUCAAAGGCAAAGCAGCAGCUCUUUCCACAUUCACUGACGGUGUUCAACUGCUCUCUCAGCGUCCACAAGCUAAACACAUGUUUUCAGAUUCUUGACAGAUCAACGCCGUCCAUUUUACCAUUCCCAUGUGUUACAACUUCACUUCUCAACUCUCGCCGGUCAUAAAAAUUGUUCCUAGCCUCACAUGUUGUGUUCACCUAGAAUUUUGUCUUUUGCACUCACACUUUGCACUCUGAUGGUCUCCAAUGGAGAGAUAGUCCCCCAAAGAUGAAUAUAAUAUGAAAUGUAGAGCAAAUUUAGCUUCUGAAGCUAUUUCAAAUAACAGAUAGAAGUCUAAAUGUGGAUUUCUCAUUUUCGCAAGAAAUGCAAUUUGAUUUAAUUCUAUAGUUAGACAAGUGUGUGUGUGUACAUUUGUUGAUGCUAUGUGUUGUUUUGCUUGUGUGAGUAUUUGU